GGUUUGAUUAUGGCUCAGAUUGAACGCUGGCGGGAUGCUUUGCACAUGCAAGUCGAACGGCAGCACGGACUUCGGUCUGACGAGUGUGACAGGUGAGUAAUGUAUCGGAACGUGCUAGUAGCGGAUAACUACGCGAAAGCGUAGCUAAUACCGCAUACGCCCUUCGGGGAAAGCGAGACCUUCGGGCCUCGCACUAUUAGAGCGGCCGAUAUCGGAUUAGCUAGUUGGUGGGGUAACGGCUCGCAAGGCGACGAUCCGUAGCUGGUUUGAGAGGACGACCAGCCACACUGGGACUGAGACACAGGCUGGGCUCUACGGGAGGCAGCAGUGGGGUACACGGACCAAUGGAAGCCCUGAUCCAGCCACCCCGCGUGUGCGAUGAAGGCACCGGGUUGUAAAGCACUUUUUGGCAGAGGAAAGAAACGGCACGGGAUAAUACCCCGUGCAACUGACAGUACCAGCAGAAUAGAAGCCGCAAAGCUAGCAAAGCGCCAGCAGCCGCGGUAAUGUGCAUGGGUGCAGCGUUAAUCAAGAUUACUGGGCGUAAAGCGUGCGCAGGCGGGUUCCGGAAAGAAGAUGUGAAAUCCCAGAGCCUUUGGAACACUGCAUUUUUAACUACCGAGCUAGAGUGUGUCAGAGGGAGGUGGAAUUCCGCGUGUAGCAGUGAAAUGCGUAGAUAUGCGGAGGAACACCGAUAGCGAAGGCAGCCUCCUGGGAUAACACUGACGCUCAUGCGAAAGCGUGGGAGCAAACAGGAUUAGAUACCCUGGUAGUCCACGCCUAAACGAUGUCAACUAGCUGUUGGGGCCUUCGGGCCUUGGUAGCGCAACUAACGCGUGAGAUUGACCGCCUGGGGAGUACGGUCGCAAGAUUAAAACUCAAAGGAAUUGACGGGGACCCGCACAACGGUGGAUGAUGUGGAUUAAUUCGAUGCAACGCGAAAACCUUACCUACCCUUGACAUGUCUGGAAUCCCGAAGAGAUUUGGGAGUGCUCGCAAGAGAACCGGAACACAGGUGCUGCAUGGCUGUCGUCAGCUCGUGUCAUUAGAGAUGUUGGGUUAAGUCCGCAACGAGCGCAACCCUUGUCAUUAGUUGCUACGAAGGGCACUCUAAUGAGACUGCCGGUGACAAACCGGAGGAAGGUCGGAUGGACGUCAAGUCCUCAUGGCCCUUAUGGGUAGGGAGCUUCACACGUCAUACAAUGGUCGGGACAGGAGGUCGCCAACCCGCGAGGGGGGGAGCCAAUCCCAGAAACCCGAUCGUAGUCCGGAUCAUGAUCUGCAACUCGACUGCGUGAAGUCGAAUCGCUAGUAAUCGCGGAUCAGCAUGUCGCGGUGAAUACACGUUCCCGGGUCUUGUACACACCGCCCGUCACAUGGGAGUGGGUUUUACCAGAAGUAGUUAGCCUAACCGUAAGGAGGGCGAUUACCACGGUAGGAUUCAUGACUGGGGUGAAGUCGUAACAAGGUA
rnacentral:rRNA from 1 species